AUUGAACGCUGGCGGCAUGCCUUACACAUGCAAGUCGAACGGCAGCGGGGACUUCGGUCCGCCGGCGAGUGGCGAACGGGUGAGUAAUGUAUCGGAACGUACCUUUCAGUGGGGGAUAACGUAGCGAAAGUUACGCUAAUACCGCAUAUUCUCUGAGGAGGAAAGCAGGGGACCUUCGGGCCUUGUGCUGAUGGAGCGGCCGAUAUCAGAUUAGCUAGUUGGUGAGGUAAAGGCUCACCAAGGCGACGAUCUGUAGCGGGUCUGAGAGGAUGAUCCGCAGAACUGGGACUGAGACACGGCCCAGACUCCUACGGGAGGCAGCAGUGGGGAAUUUUGGACAAUGGGCGCAAGCCUGAUCCAGCCAUGCCGCGUGAGUGAAGAAGGCCUUCGGGUUGUAAAGCUCUUUCGGACGGGAAGAAAUUGGUGGGGCUAAUAUCCCCAUCGGAUGACGGUACCGUAAUAAGAAGCACCGGCUAACUACGUGCCAGCCGCCGCCGUAACAC
rnacentral:rRNA from 1 species